rnacentral:rRNA from 1 species
AAUCAAACCGGGAGAUAGCUGGUUCUCCCCGAAAGCUAUUUAGGUAGCGCCUCGUGAAUUCAUCUCCGGGGGUAGAGCACUGUUUCGGCUAGGGGGCCAUCCCGGCUUACCAACCCGAUGCAAACUGCGAAUACCGGAGAAUGUUAUCACGGGAGACACACGGCGGGUGCUAACGUCCGUCGUGAAGAGGGAAACAACCCAGACCGCCAGCUAAGGUCCCAAAGUCAUGGUUAAGUGGGAAACGAUGUGGGAAGGCCCAGACAGCCAGGAUGUUGGCUUAGAAGCAGCCAUCAUUUAAAGAAAGCGUAAUAGCUCACUGGUCGAGUCGGCCUGCGCGGAAGAUGUAACGGGGCUAAACCAUGCACCGAAGCUGCGGCAGCGACAUUUAGGUGUUGUUGGGUAGGGGAGCGUUCUGUAAGCCUGUGAAGGUGGCCUGUGAGGGUUGCUGGAGGUAUCAGAAGUGCGAAUGCUGACAUAAGUAACGAUAAAGCGGGUGAAAAGCCCGCUCGCCGGAAGACCAAGGGUUCCUGUCCAACGUUAAUCGGGGCAGGGUGAGUCGACCCCUAAGGCGAGGCCGAAAGGCGUAGUCGAUGGGAAACGGGUUAAUAUUCCCGUACUUGGUGUUACUGCGAAGGGGGGACGGAGAAGGCUAUGUUGGCCGGGCGACGGUUGUCCCGGUUUAAGCGUGUAGGUGUGUGUUCCAGGUAAAUCCGGUUCACUUUAACACUGAGGCGUGACGACGAGGCACUACGGUGCUGAAGCAACAAAUGCCCUGCUUCCAGGAAAAGCCUCUAAGCAUCAGGUAACAUCAAAUCGUACCCCAAACCGACACAGGUGGUCAGGUAGAGAAUACCAAGGCGCUUGAGAGAACUCGGGUGAAGGAACUAGGCAAAAUGGUGCCGUAACUUCGGGAGAAGGCACGCUGACACGUAGGUGAAGUGAUUUACUCAUGGAGCUGAAGUCAGUCGAAGAUACCAGCUGGCUGCAACUGUUUAUUAAAAACACAGCACUGUGCAAACACGAAAGUGGACGUAUACGGUGUGACGCCUGCCCGGUGCCGGAAGGUUAAUUGAUGGGGUCAGCGCAAGCGAAGCUCCUGAUCGAAGCCCCGGUAAACGGCGGCCGUAACUAUAACGGUCCUAAGGUAGCGAAAUUCCUUGUCGGGUAAGUUCCGACCUGCACGAAUGGCGUAAUGAUGGCCAGGCUGUCUCCACCCGAGACUCAGUGAAAUUGAACUCGCUGUGAAGAUGCAGUGUACCCGCGGCAAGACGGAAAGACCCCGUGAACCUUUACUAUAGCUUGACACUGAACAUUGAGCCUUGAUGUGUAGGAUAGGUGGGAGGCUUUGAAGCGUGGACGCCAGUCUGCGUGGAGCCGACCUUGAAAUACCACCCUUUAAUGUUUGAUGUUCUAACGUGGACCCGUGAUCCGGGUUGCGGACAGUGUCUGGUGGGUAGUUUGACUGGGGCGGUCUCCUCCUAAAGAGUAACGGAGGAGCACGAAGGUUGGCUAAUCCUGGUCGGACAUCAGGAGGUUAGUGCAAUGGCAUAAGCCAGCUUGACUGCGAGCGUGACGGCGCGAGCAGGUGCGAAAGCAGGUCAUAGUGAUCCGGUGGUUCUGAAUGGAAGGGCCAUCGCUCAACGGAUAAAAGGUACUCCGGGGAUAACAGGCUGAUACCGCCCAAGAGUUCAUAUCGACGGCGGUGUUUGGCACCUCGAUGUCGGCUCAUCACAUCCUGGGGCUGAAGUAGGUCCCAAGGGUAUGGCUGUUCGCCAUUUAAAGUGGUACGCGAGCUGGGUUUAGAACGUCGUGAGACAGUUCGGUCCCUAUCUGCCGUGGGCGCUGGAGAACUGAGGGGGGCUGCUCCUAGUACGAGAGGACCGGAGUGGACGCAUCACUGGUGUUCGGGUUGUCAUGCCAAUGGCACUGCCCGGUAGCUAAAUGCGGAAGAGAUAAGUGCUGAAAGCAUCUAAGCACGAAACUUGCCCCGAGAUGAGUUCUCCCUGAGACUUUAGGUCUCCUGAAGGAACGUUGAAGACGACGACGUUGAUAGGCCGGGUGUGUAAGCGCAGCGAUGCGUUGAGCUAACCGGUACUAAUGAACCGUGAGGCUUAACCUUACAACGCCGAAG